GAUGAACGCUAGCGGCAGGCCUAACACAUGCAAGUCGAGGGGUAGAAGUUUUCGGACUUUGAGACCGGCGCACGGGUGCGUAACGCGUAUGCAAUCUGCCUUGUACUGGGGGAUAGCCCAGAGAAAUUUGGAUUAAUACCCCAUAGUAUUUUCGGUUGGCAUCAACUGAUUAUUAAAGUUUUUCGGUACAAGAUGAGCAUGCGUCCCAUUAGCUAGUUGGUAUGGUAACGGCAUACCAAGGCUACGAUGGGUAGGGGUCCUGAGAGGGAGAUCCCCCACACUGGUACUGAGACACGGACCAGACUCCUACGGGAGGCAGCAGUGAGGAAUAUUGGUCAAUGGUCGCAAGACUGAACCAGCCAUGCCGCGUGCAGGAUGAAGCAUCUAUGGUGUGUAAACUGCUUUUGUACGAGAAGAAACACUGCUACGUGUAGCAGCUUGACGGUACCGUAAGAAUAAGGAUCGGCUAACUCCGUGCCAGCCGCCGCUGUAACAC
rnacentral:rRNA from 1 species